rnacentral:rRNA from 1 species
AUGCAGCAGCAAAGAAGGCCCAAGUUGAACAAAUUCAGAACCAGCAGAGCAAAGCAGAGGGCGUCACGGAAGGACCAAGACGAUCAAGUCGCGCAACAGUCCCAUCCGCACGAUAUGCAAGCAACGGCAACGCUUGGAUCACUGUCUGAAUACGUCACUGACGGGAUUAACGUGGGACCCGUUUGUAAGUGUGUGAGACUUUGGCCAGAUAUAGUAUAUUUAAAUGGAAGUAUUGGUCAAUGCCCAGUAUGUGCACAUGGCCCUGAAGAUGCUAGACACCUGUUAUUUGGAUGUGAGCGGGCAGUGAAGAAUAUGACACUUACUUGGUCCUACUCUGAAGAUGAAUCGGUGGACGAUGACGGUAGCAGCCUCUGA